rnacentral:rRNA from 1 species
CCUACGGGAGGCAGCAGUGAGGAAUAUUGGGCAAUGGGCGCAAGCCUGACCCAGCGACGCCGCGUGGGCGAUGAAGGCCUUCGGGUCGUAAAGCCCUUUUCUGUGGGACGAUAAUGACGGUACCACAGGAAUAAGCCACGGCUAACUACGUGCCAGCAGCCGCGGUAAUACGUAGGUGGCUAGCGUUAUCCGGAUUCACUGGGCGUAAAGAGCGCGUAGGCGGUGUGCUAAGUUGGACGUGAAAGCCCCCGGCUUAACCGGGGGAGGUCGUCCAAUACUGGUGCACUUGAGGGUGGACGGGGAAAGCGGAAUUCCCGGUGUAGUGGUGAAAUGCGUAGAUAUCGGGAGGACCACCAGUGGCGAAGGCGGCUUUCUAGACCACUCCUGACGCUGAGGCGCGAAAACGUGGGGAGCGAACCGGAUUAGAUACCCCUGUAGU